rnacentral:piRNA from 1 species
UGCCAAUGGUGGAAGUCAGUGACAGGA